rnacentral:lncRNA from 1 species
GCUCAUCUAACGGUUGAGUGGACAAGACGUGGAUAUAGGUAUGAUACGAAUACCUCAACCCCUCACACGCUCAUCUAACGGUUGAGUGGACAAGACGUGGAUAUAGGUAUGAUACGAAUACCUCAACCCCUCACACGCUCAUCUAACGGUUGAGUGGACAAGACGUGGAUAUAGGUAUGAUACGAAUACCUCAACCCCUCACACGCUCAUCUAACGGUUGAGUGGACAAGACGUGGAUAUAGGUAUGAUACGAAUACCUCAGCCCCUCACACGCUCAUCUAACGGUUGAGUGAACAAGACGUGGAUAUAGGUAUGAUACGAAUACCUGAACCCCUCACACGCUCAUCUAAUGGUUGAGUGAACAAGAAGUAGAAAGUGGAGAGCAAAUAAAGAAAGCCUUAGGGAAGUGACGUAGAUAUAGGUAUGAUAGGAACUCAGGCAUGUAAAGCAGGUGUUGUGUGUUAAGGUGUGGUCAUGUCAAAGUCACGUCCGACUGGUUUGGUCACAUUCCACAGAACACGUGUACACUUACUGGAUCAGGUUACGUAUACAACAGGUCACACAAGUCAUGUAAAACAGAGCAAACUCC